rnacentral:lncRNA from 1 species
CAGGCCGCCCCCUGGGGCCACGAGGAUGUUCAGGAACCGAGGUGGAGAUGGUCGCAUCGGUGUGAAAGUGCCCGUUGCCUCUGAACCUUGCACUUUGUUUACUUACUCAUUUUGAGACGGGGUCUCGCCCGGUCGCCCUGGCUGGGGUGCAGCGGCCCGACCUCGGCUCGCCGCGGCCUCUGCCUUCCUAGUAGCUGGGACGUCAGGCGCGCGCCGCCACGCCCGGCUAAUUUUUUGUGUUUUUUGUAGAGGGGGCGUCUUCCCGCGUUGGCCAGGCUGUUCUCGGACUGCUGGCUUCUGCUGGGAUUACAGGCCUGAGCCACCGCGCCAUGCCUGGAAAUUCUCAGCUUCGAAAUGGUAAAUGUGAUCGCUGUGGUGCUGAUGCCUGUAAUCCCAGCACUUUCGGAGGCCGAGGGGGGAGGAACACUUGAGUCCAGGAGUUCAAUACCAGCCUGGGCAACAUAGUGAGACCCCAUCUCUACAAAAAAUCAAAAAGAAAUUAGCCGGGAGCGGUGGUGGCGCGCGCCUGAGGUCCCAGCUACUCAGGAGGCUGAGACGGGAGGCUCGCCUGAGCUCUGGAGGUGGAGGCUGCAGUGAGCUCAGAUUGCACCACCGCACAACAGCCUGGGCAGCGGAGCCAGAGUCUGUCCCAAAAAAAUAAGAAGUUUUAUAUUAUGUGUAAUUUUAUAUUUCUGCUAUAUUAUCGAAAAAUUGGGGGUGUGCAGUUUCUUUAUAACAGUUUAUUAUACUUGGAUAUUUUUUAAAUCAUAGAAGAGUUGGAAUACAAGUACAAGGAAAACUCCCCAGUGUUCACUACCAAAAUGUGCCAGCUGUUUUCAUUUGUUCCAUUUGUUUAAUACUCUCGAACCAAAUUCACCUACUAUUUACGUUUUGCUCCAUUUUUGAAUCAUUCUCUCUGUAAAUAUAAACAUAAUGGAUUUUUUUCCUAAACCAUUUGAGACGCUGGAGACACCUAAACACUUUGCUGUGUAUUUACUCUUAGGAACCACACCGUAGAAUGGUCAAAAUCCGGACCCAGCCCACACUCCAGAUUUAACUCGCUUCAAAUGUCUUUUAUACCUUUUUUUCCCUGUUGAGGAUUCAGUCUAGGAUGACGCACUGCAUUUGUUGUUGUGUUUCUUGUUUUGUUUUGUUUUUUUCUGUUUUUGAGACGGAGUUUUGCUCCGUCGCCCAGUCUGGAGUACAAAGGUGCGAUCUCGGCUGACCGCAACCUCUGCCUACCCGGUUCAAGUGAUUCUCCUGCCUCAGCCUCCCGAGUAUCUGGGAUUACAGGCGCACACCGCCACUCCCAGCUAAUUUUUGUAUUUUUAGUAGAGACGGGAUUUCACAAUGUUGGCCAGGCUGGUCUCGAACUCCCGACCUUAAAUGACCAGGCUGACCAACAUGGUCAGCUACUCAGGAGGCUGAGGCAGGAGAAUCGCUUGAACCCGGGAGGCAGAGUUUGCGGUGAGCCGAGAUCCCGCCAUUCAUUGCACUCCAGCCUCGGAAACUAGCAAAACUCCAUCUUAAAAAAAAAGAGGAGGCCGGGUGCAGUGGCUCUGCACAACACUUUGGGAGGCCGAGGCAGGUGGAUCACCUGAGGUCAGAAAUCCGAGACCAGCCUGGCCAACAUGGUGGAACCCCAUCUCUACUAAAAAUGCAAAAAGUAGCCGGGCGUGGUAGCGGGCCCCAGUAAUCCCAGCUGAGGUGGGAGAAUUGCUUGAACCCGGGAGGCCAAGGCUGCAGUGAGCCAAGAUCGCACCACUGCACUCUAGCGUGGGUGACAGAUCAAGACCUUGUCUCAAAAAACAAGAAGAAGAAAAACUACUUUUUUUUUUUCAGAUGGGGUCUCACUCUCACCCAGUCUGGAGUGCAGUGGCGCCAUCUCAGCUCAUUGCAGCCUCUGCCUCCUGGGCUUGAGUGAUCUUCCCACCUCGACCUCCUGAGUAGCUGAACCACAAGUGCAUGCCUGGCCAAUUUUUGUAUUUUUGGUAGAAAUGGAGUUUCACCAUGUUGCCCAGGCUGGUCUCAAAACUGGCCUCCCAAAGUGCUGGGAUUACAGACACAACUGGCCUACCUGCAGGAUUUUCAGUUUAUGGACAUGACUGACUGGAGACAUGGAGAAGCUGUUGUUAUUGGAGAUUUUUAUUACUCGCAUUUCCUGAGCGAUGGGGACACUCACUGUGGGGAAAAGCAAGAGAGAUCAGAUUGUUACUGUGUCUGUGUAGAAAGAAGUAGACAUAGGAGACUCCAUUUUGUUCUGUACUAAGAAAAAUUCUUCUGCCUUGGGAUCCUGUUGAUCUGUGACCUUACCCCCAACCCCGUGCUCUCUGAAACAUGUGCUACGUCCACUCAGGGUUAAAUGGAUUAAGGGCGGUGCAAGAUGUGCUUUGUUAAACAGAUGCUUGAAGGCAGCACGCUCCUUAAGAGUCAUCACCACUCCCUAAUCUCAAGUACCCAGGGACACAGAAACUGCGGAAGGCCGCAGGGUCCUCUGCCUAGGAAAGCCAGGUAUUGUCCAAGGUUUCUCCCCAUGUGAUAGUCUGAAAUAUGGCCUCGUGGGAAGGGAAAGACCUGACCGUCCCCCAGCCCGACACCCGUAAAGGGUCUGUGCUGAGGAGGAUUAGUAUAAGAGGAAGGAAUGCCUCUUGCAGUUGAGACAAGAGGAAGGCAUCUGUCUCCUGCCUGUCCCUGGGCAAUGGAAUGUCUCAGUAUAAAACCCGAUUGUAUGUUCCAUCUACUGAGAUGGGGAAAAACCGCCUUAGGGCUGGAGGUGGGACCCGCGGGCAGCAAUACUGCUUUGUAAAGCAUUGAGAUGUUUAUGUGUAUGCAUAUCUAAAGCACAGCACUUAAUCCUUUACAUUGUCUAUGAUGCAAAGACCUUUGUUCACGUGUUUGUCUGCUGACCCUCUCCCCACAAUUGUCUUGUGACCGUGACACAUCCCCCUCUUUGAGAAACACCCACAAAUGAUCAAUAAAUACUAAGGGAACGCAGAGGCUGGCGGGAUCCUCCAUGUGCUGAACGCUGGUUCCCCGGGUCCCCUUAUUUCUUUCUCUA